rnacentral:rRNA from 1 species
UACGUAGGCAGCAAGCGUUGUUCGGAGUUACUGGGCGUAAAGGGUGCGUAGGCGGCUUUUUAAGUUUGGUGUGAAAUCUCCCGGCUCAACUGGGAGGGUGCGCCGGAAACUGGGGUGCUGGAGCGCGGGAGAGGAAAGCGGAAUUCCUGGUGUAGCGGUGAAAUGCGUAGAUAUCAGGAGGAACACCGGCGGUGUAGACGGCUUUCUGGACCGUAGCUGACGCUGAGACACGAAAGCGUGGGUAGCAAACAGG